CCAAAGGCCCUCUUUAGGGCCACCAAAACUUACUUUUCUCGAUCUU
rfam:Strongyloides stercoralis strain PV0001 genome assembly, scaffold: SSTP_contig0000033